UGACAAGAUACUUUUGUGGUUUCACAGUUUUGCAAAGAGUGCUUCCGUCAAGUUUCUGCAUCAUCACAGUGACAGGCAGCAGGCAGCAACGACACCAUCUACACUGAGAUCUCAGCCUUGCAGCCCCCUUUAAGUUUCUGAGUUUCUUCCUUAUUCACUUUCCUCUCAACCCUAAGGAGUAACCAUCCUGCAGCUGCUACCCCUGCACACUUUAGUAACCACAUUUUAACUAGUUAGAAAUGCUAUCUUCCCUGUUCAAAUUCCUGAUAAGAUUCCUCUCUCCUGAAUGGACCGUGACUGUGUUGAAGCUUAAUACUAUUGGAGGAGGUCAUGGAGAGGACACGACCUGAGAGCUGGUUGACCUGAGAGCUGGAUUCCGACAGUCAAAGGCUUCUGACACCCUCCUCCCCUGGCCCUGGUUCUUAGGAAGUACAUUCAGCCCACUGUUCCCACAGGAGGACCCAGUUCAGUGAUGCAGCGUAGACAGAAUAAUGUGUUGUUGAGACCAUCUGGACUGUGUACGUGACUCAGUUCUGUUAAGGCCUCUGUAGAAAUUUUAAGAUUCUGGUAUCUGGUAGUUGUGGAGAUCUACCCAUUUCGCAGCUGCCCAAGACAAGCCUUGAUAUAUUUGAUGUGACAGAAGAGCAGCCCAGGAUGGAAGGACAAGAUAUAUAGUCUCAUAACAAAUAUAAUACAUAUUUACUGGCUCCACGCACUUAAAGGACAAGAAACAAGACCAACCCAGUAGCAAUGAGCAACUCUUGUCCCAGGCUGAAUCUUAUAAAAACAUUUUCCACUAAAAGGAACCAGGCUUCCUUGGAGAAAUGGCUGACUCCAGGUCUGGGUAGAGAUUGUAUCAAGUAAGUUUAGACCAGAUUCCAUUACCAGAAAGUAUGUCAAGGACACAAAAGACAAAAAAGAAGGGAGUUACAGAGUCUGAAGAAGGAAAAAUUUGAACAUCAAAAACAUUAAUGACUGCAAUGUAUUCAAACAAGAAAUAUAUGAAAGUCUAUGAAAGAACAAAUAAAACUAAAUUGCUGUUCACCUUUGGAGGAUCCCAGGGAAACAAAUCAGUAAUUUUUUUUUCUGACUUAAAACAGUAAAAAUUUAUUGUCUCACAGUUCUGGAGGCCAGAAUUACAAGAUCAAGGUGUUGGCAGGACCACUCUCCCUCUGAGAUUUUGGGUAGAAUCCUUCCUUGACUCUUCCUAACUUCUGGUGGUGGCUGUUGAUCCUCGGCAUUUCUUGGCUUGUGGCUGCAUCACUCCAAUAUCUUCCUAUGUUGUCACACAGCCUUGUUAUCUCUGUGUCUGGGUCUUUUUUCCUCUUAUAAGGACACAAGUCAUAUUGGAUCAGGACCCAUGCUACUUCAGCAUUACCCCAUCUUAAUUAUACCUGCAAAGACCUUAUUUCCAAAUAAC